GGGUAAGCCGAAACGCGUUUCACUCUUGUAGAGCUUCCUCAGUCAGCUGUCUGAGGAAGCUCUACAAGAGUGAAACGUGUUUUGGC